ACCGGCAGGAGCAGCGCCCUGCUGUGAUCUAAGCAGAGGUCGAGUUGGUGGAGCGGUUAAGCUGGCAACGUGUAGGGUGUUGGAGCAGUGGGGAUCGUGAUCCGCCCCAACGAUCCCGCAGCCUGCAGAGGCGAUCCCGCGGAGGUGGGAUCGUCUCCGUAGAUAAUGCGGCGCGGAACGCCUGAGGCUGGAAACAGAGCAGGGAAAAGCGCUCGCUGCGGUGAAGCGGAGGGAAUACGGAACUGCCCCUCCGGCACACCACGCGCUGCGGCCCCACCACACCAACUUU
rnacentral:SRP_RNA from 1 species